CUGACAUGGUUCUCGUUUCCGUUUCGGAGAAUGGCUUAUCGCCGGGGUAUAUCUCGCUGCAAGGAAAUGGACUGGUACCACCAUCUGGAACGAUGAUAAUUAACAGUUCCAGUUUCUGUUGGGAUCAGCACCGAUGCAUCCUCCUCUAGUCGGUCGUCUUGUUUUUCGCCAAAGACGAUUCUAAACAAAAAAUUGUAUCAGCUCUCGCAGAAAUUUAUCGGACUUUCUAAAAGUUUCAGUUGAAUCUCGAUGAGAUUUUCUAAUAAAAUCGACCGUCCAGCGAGGGCGAUGUUUUUCCACUGGGAGAGUUCAGCUUUCACACAAAUGGAUCAAACCGGAAAUCCACCCGUACCGGUUCUAACU